rnacentral:rRNA from 1 species
CCCUGGCCUUGACAUCCAGAGAACUUAGCAGAGAUGCUUUGGUGCCUUCGGGAACUCUGAGACAGGUGCUGCAUGGCUGUCGUCAGCUCGUGUUGUGAAAUGUUGGGUUAAGUCCCGCAACGAGCGCAACCCUUAUCCUUUGUUGCCAGCGGUUCGGCCGGGAACUCAAAGGAGACUGCCGGUGAUAAACCGGAGGAAGGUGGGGAUGACGUCAAGUCAUCAUGGCCCUUACGGCCAGGGCUACACACGUGCUACAAUGGCGCAUACAAAGAGAAGCGACCUCGCGAGAGCAAGCGGACCUCAUAAAGUGCGUCGUAGUCCGGAUUGGAGUCUGCAACUCGACUCCAUGAAGUCGGAAUCGCUAGUAAUCGUAGAUCAGAAUGCUACGGUGAAUACGUUCCCGGGCCUUGUACACACCGCCCGUCACACCAUGGGAGUGGGUUGCAAAAGAAGUAGGUAGCUUAACCUCCGGAAGGGCGCUUACCACUUUGUGAUUCAUGACUGGGGUGAAGUCGUAACAAGGUAACCAAGGGCGAAUUCUG